AUAGCUUUCCAAGUUCUGAAGUGAGGCUGAAGGCACAAACGUUUGCAAUAUUAAAUGUCUAUCAUACAACAUUUUAAAAACAAAACAAAACAUUUUCAUGCUGCACUGUGAGAAAUGGUAUAUUGCGCCAACCGUUGUAAUUGAUGCAUGAGGCCUUAGUCUUGGUGCGCUCAACUUGACUCUACUUAAAUAAAGUUAUGGCACCCAGGCAUAGUUCAUCAGGCCCACCUGAGGGAUGAAGCCUGGUGCACCCUGGGCAUAGCCCAAAAGAAAAAAAAAAUGGAGCCUAGUACACCCAUGGCAUGGUGACCACAGAAACCACUGUGUUCAUCUAAGGCAGAGUUUCAAAACUUGGGUCCCUAUCUGUUUUUGGACUCCCUUCAUCCCUAGCUAGCAGGACCAGUGGUCAUGGAUGAUGAGAACUGUAGUCCAAAACAGCUGGAGACCCAAGUUUGCGAAACCCUGAUCUAAGCUGUACAACUACUUGUAUGCACUUCUAAGUCACCUAUGUAGGGUUUUAAUUUUAGGAGGAUUUUUAAUUAGUUAAUUAAAAGUUUGAUCUGGAAGCUCCUUCUAAACUUCCUUAUCACUUUCACCUGGUCUGUGGAGCUUUUGGUCAUCCACUGGACUUAUGGUGUCAACAGAACAAAUGAAGUUAUGGCUUAAUCUCCCUUACAGUUUAACCUUUAGCCUAUGGUUUAACCUCUAAGGGAAUAAAGGCACAUAAGCAUAUAAAGAAUAAACAAAAGAGACAUUUCUUACAUUCCAAGACAGCAGGGAUAUUGAUGCUGAUCUGUCUGCCUGGACCACUGUUCUGACAUAGUCCAUAAGUGUAGGGGUGCAGUCCGUGUAAGGUGAUGUGCCUCAAUUGCAGUAUUUCUAAACCCCUCCUUUUCUACACAUGUGAAUUUGGCCUCUGUCCCAGAAGUCAGACACAUGGAGUGGUAGUCAACAAAGUUUUACUCAGAGUAGACCCACUGAAAUUAAUGGACCUAACUUACUCAUGUUCGCUAAUUUCAGUGGGCCUACUCUGAGCAAAACCUAGUUGAAUAUCACCCAUGUACUGUCUAUGAGUGUCCCAGGAAGUCCAUAGGUGUUUACUUCCCAUCAUGUGCCUCUGACCUUUUCAUUUAUUCUGCUUGCUUUCUAUUUUUGAUUCAGUCUAACCGCAAGACUAAACACAUCUAUUUUUCCUGUUCUGCUGCAGACAGCUUUUUACGAUAUGUGUGAAAAAGAACACAUGCCCUAUUUCACCUGCCACUGAGCAAUACACCCACAAAUCACAUCAGGCUAACACAGAUGACCCUUAUACUGCCCAAACUAUAUCUGCAUCACAUGCAGAAAGCAAGAACUGUAAACAUUCAUGCAGAAUAAAUAACUCAAGCUGGGGAACUCAGCUGCAUACUACCUGUAUGAUACACACAUAUGCAGCAUACUGUUAAGAACUGAGCAUUUAGAGAACAUUCUAAAAAUUAUGUUCCCAUUCUGCUAAUGGUGAAGGUCACCAGUGAAUCCAUGGCAGAGAACUCAAAUCACAUGCAGAGUGAAUCAUUCAGGAAAAUGUCAAGCCAUAGGCAAAGAAAAUCACACACAUGCAUUAUGUGGUCAUAGAAUCAAGCACAUAGAAAACACAAAUGGUUGUAUUUACCAUGGCAUGAGGAGUUCCGCUUUCAUAAUGCAACUUCUGUUUCUGCCAUUUCAUUCCCCACCCCAAAUCUGUUCCUGAGGGUCCCCCAAUCCUCUGGGGUUGAUUUUGAGGGCACUGGGGGCAGAGAAGAAGCCUGUUACAGCAGUAAUAGAGAGCAUGUGGGGCUUUGCUGCUCACAUGACUUCCUUCUAACUCAGUGGCUGCUCCACAGCCUGAUGGAGAGAGGAAGGGGCAAGAUGCUGGUGAGGUGCAAAUGUGCUGGCAGGAGCACCAAGUUGGCUUUGGCAGCCUUGCCCUCCUGGUAUUCAGCCAUGACUCAACCAGAAAGAGAUCAAGUAGCAGCCCAGCCCUACCACACCAUCAGCUAUUGGUCAGCAGAGCUGCCACAUUAGUCCAAACAUUUCUCAUGGAUUGCGUGAUCCAGAUUCAUUAUAGAAUGAUAACCUAAGAGGGAUCAGGAAUUUGUGGCCCUCUAUGUGUUGCUGUGACUCCAAUUCCUGUCAUCCCUGUCCAUCAGUUGUGAUGGUUGGGGCUGAUGGAGUUGGAGUCCAGCAACAUCUGAAGGGCCACAUGUUUCCCACUCUGGUCUAAGAUCAGACCUAUGAAGUUUGCUCUGUUUCUCUCCUGUCCUGCCCCUUGUGUUCACACAGACCCAGGCUUUCCCCUCUCUUGUAUAGGAACUGGGUAUCCAAAACCCGCCUGGGUCAUUUUCUUCUUGUGCAGUUGGCAUCCUUACUUAUCAUGUAGCAAGUUAUGAAGAAAGCCUCAUGUUAGCACCUGACCUUUCUGAUAAUGAUAAAACUAUAAAUGUUUGUUUUGUUGUAUAAAAAUAGUAGCAAACUAAGAUGUCUUGCCAUUUGUACGACUACAACAGUCUGAAAGGGAGGGAUCCUCUAAUAAGCUGUCACUGUUCUGUUAGCUCCUUUUAGCACACAUAGACUAAUCCUGCUGGGAAACUGAUAGAAUUUUAAAUGAAUUGGCUGUCAUCUUUGUUAACAAAUACAAUUUAUGUGCUUGUGUGUGGGAAUUCUGUUAAUUCUCCAUUGAGUGACAUUCAGGAGCAUCAGUAAGAUUCAGCUACCUUGGAAGCAAGAGACUUGCUUUCCUAAUAUUUUUACACUUAUCCACAGUGGGAGGUAGUAAUGCUUCUGAAUACAAGUUGCUAGAAACCACAGGAGGGCUCUUGUGCUUAGGUCCUACUUCCAGGUUUCCCAUAGGCAUUUGGAUGGCCUCUUUGAGAACAGGCUGCUGGAUUGGAUGGGACAUUGGCCCUUCUUACAUUCUAAGGAACUGAUUGUAUACACAUAAUUUAUGAGAUACUGCAUGGAGAUUUUUGGCCAUGAUGUAUUCUCUGCAUAUCUUGCAACAUAUUACGGUACUAGAGUUGUUUGAGAAAGUUGUAUCAUCUGUUUUCUUCUUGCCUGCCAGGCAUAAGGGUUCCUCAAAUCUUUACAUCCCACCUAGACAGUAUGUGAUUCACCAAGCUAAACACAGAUCACCUGCCAUGUCUCAGUAGCAUAAGUAGCAUAAGCUGCCUUAGGCUGAGUCAGACCAUUGGUAGAUCUAGCUGAGUAUUGUCUACAGUGACUGGUGGUGAUUCUUUAGGAUUUCAGAGAGGGUUUUCCCCAUGCCUACCAGGAGGUGUCAGGGAUUUACUCUGGGAUCUUCUGUAUUCAAAGCAUGUGCUCUAUCACUGAGCCACAACUAUUCCCAUUGCUUAAUGUCUUUUACUGAAAAAUGAUAGGGACAUAAUUAAGUACCUGGCAUCAGGACACCCACUCUCAUUUUGCCACCAGAGGCAAAACAGGAAUUGUUGCCUCCUGCACCCCUGCCACUAUGCACCCCUUUCUGCUGCCCUCCCACCACUUCCUGGGAAACUGAGCAGCAACAUAGCAUGCAGGAACGCCCCAGCUCUUGCCAAGCUGUGGGACACAGGGCAUCCCACAAAGCAUUGUUGUUUGGCUUCUCCACCUGAGAGUGGGGAAGCAAUGUUGCAUGCUGGAAUGCCUUUCUCUCAAUGGCAUUCUGGUAGUGGUGGAAGUGGUGGGGUAGGAGGACCAUUGCCUCUUGUUUUUCUGCCACCUGAGGUCUCACCUUGCCUUAUGGAUGGUUCGGCUUAUAUUAUUGAUCCCAUAUUGUACUAAUCACAUUUUUUUUUAACCUCGGUAAAGGGAGUUGUGUUUUUUUUAUCUGGGUGGGUAGAGGGUGGCUCUAUUCCUGGUAUUAAAAUAGCACUAGUGAGUGGAACUUUUUUCAGGUGUAGCAUUUUAUAUUAUUUUAAAUCUCUUUUCAAGGAGUUUAUCUUGAAGAUUAUGCCAACUCAGCUUUCUCUGUGUUAAGAACUAAAUCCAGCAGUCUUCAGUCUGUUGCUUGAAUCAAAUGCACUGUUGAUUGUUGUAGGCUUUUAAGAAAAAACUAUUGAACAAACUGUAAUGGGGGUGGGGUGGGAAUUGUUUCCCAUUUUUCAUAUUCAACAUUGUUAGAGAAACGUUAAGCAAACAUGUACCUAACAAAGAUCUUCAGGUGCAGGCAACAGUAUUGAGGCAGGACCUUCUGUACUAAAACAUUACUGUAAUGCACUUAUGGCAAAUGAUUCCAGAUAGCCAAACAUAGUUUGUUCUAACCAGAGGCAGAAGAUUAUGGAUAGAAGCCUUCUCCAAAAAGUCGCACUGGUUCAUAGGCACAAAAUCUGACAAACAUACAAUCCCUAUUCUUAUUCUUUCUGAGUGUGUUUGCCUUGCAGUAGGCCAAGCUAAAUAUAUUUGUUCACUUCUAAUGCAGCUGGGAUGUACAGCUAGUGGUUAAUUUCUAAAACAAGGAGUGCUGCACUUAAAGUGUAACAAGAACUCACACUCUCCCAUAGAAGCCUUUGCAUAUAAUCUCAGGGGUGUCUGUAAUAAUGGAGUUAUGGUAGAUGUGUGUCAGUUUAAAGCAAGCUAUAGACAGCCAGCCAGCCAAAGUCCAAGAACAAAGCCAUUGCAAUUGCGCCCGUCGGCGGAAAUUAAAAGGAGCAUUGGCAAGCUCCAUAGCCGGGAGUGCUCAAGGGGCUUAAAGCCACAAGGGGCAAAGCCACCGAAGGAAGAGAAGGGAUGCGGAAGGGGAAGGGGAAGGGGAAGGGAUCAACUUAAAAUAAAGGGGGAAUGG